AAAGUCGACGUUUAGCCAACUGUUUCUGUAAUGUUUCUGUAAUUUUUGUCGACUUUAUUUGUCUUACAAUAAGUCUUACAAUAAGUCGACUUAAAGUCAACUAUUUCCGAGGAUAUUAAAGUCGACUUUUUAUCGAGACUUUUAAUCGAGUAAUAUUGUCAAAUUUAUGUUCAUUUUUAAUUAUACAAAUGCGUUAUUAAACUAUAAGAAUUCUAAUUUGUUAUUUAUAUUUGACGCCAAGUCAAUAUUGCGAGCGUUAAGUGAAACGCACUAAAUUAAGCGCUAGUAUACUUCUUUCAGAAUUUAUUCGAUUUCUAUUCGGCGUUCACAUUAGAUUAUGUUGCAACGCAACGCGCGAUAUUAAUAAAACGUGACUCGAUGUGACCAGCGAUAUAAUCCAAAAUUCAAACAAUUAACGAUUUUCUGCUCUGGUGCCUGCGCUGUCUUCUCUGUCUUCUCUAUUCAGAGGACAGAUUCGAAGGAGCAAUUGCGAUUUUCUGUUCUCUGGUGCCUGCGCUAUCUUCUCUGUCUUCUCUAUUCA